ensembl:lncRNA
GGCUGGUGGUGGUCGACGUGGCCUUCUACACGGAGAACAUCCAGGCGCUGAAGAGCCUCGAGCGACUCGACCUGAACAUGGCUGAGAUCUGGGAGCAGAAGAGGUGAUGUAGGACGGAGUCUGGACGUCAUGGACUGACCGACCCGGCGACGGGGGCCGACCUCAGGGGCCGAUGGCGGCCGGCUGACAGUGGAGGAGGCCCAGAGGGACCAAAACUACAAAACUGGGAGAAGAGCAGCAGCAGCAUGCCAGAACUCCAACAGCUUCAACGACUUGAUAAAGUUCCACACAGAGCCUCCUAAAAACUGCUGCCACCUCAUCUCACUGUGUGCAAUCGGACAGAAAUACUAGUAAAUUAUUAGACAGUUUUAUUGCAGCACACUGCAGGGUGUGGAAGAUGUUGAAGACAUGGAGGGGUAAUUUAUUUUUCUGACUUCUGGAGAAACAUUCUAUACUGUGGCAGACUUUUCUUUUUCCUUGGGCCCGGGAUGUUGAGGCUGAAAGGAUUUUUAUCGCCAACACUGAAAAUGAGCUUUUAUGUCACUGAUUUUGUGGACUUCAGGGAAACUUCACAGCUGAAGAUAGAAAGUUCAGGGGAUAAAAUGAUUCAGUCUGAAAAGAUGAUUUUCCUCUUCACUGCUCCAAACAAAUCUACAGGGUUCCUGUUUCCCAAAUCACUCUGAUCAGCUGCACACAACACGGACAUUUUUAUACUCAGAACAAGGAUUUUUUUCCAGACUUGUUGUGUUGAACCCUGGAGGAGGAUGAACCCUGGAGGAGGAGGAACCCUGGAGGAGCAGCAGCUGGGAGAAAUGUCUCACUGAAGAGUUGAAUUCCUGUAAAAUUUGAAAUAAACCAAUCAGCUCUCAGCUACAUCCUGAUGUUGCCAAAGUGAAGUGGUUUCUAAUCUAGGAAUUCAACUCUUCUGAUCCAUUUCCCUCCUCAACAGUCAAUCAUGCUUCAGGUCUCCUUCAGGCUCAGUCUUUGUGAUGAAUCAGAAGAUAAUUUUAAUAUCAGUGAAGAGAGUUUGCAGAAUGUGAAGCAUGAAUAUCAGCUGUUGUUCCUUCUGCUGUGGUUUGAUUUCAUGUGCAUGAGCUUUUAGUUUCGUCCGAGGCUGAAACAACAGAACAGAACAGAAAAUCUGAUUUAUUUUUACUUCAUUAAUGUCUAAAUGGAAUAAUCCCAGGACAUGUGAAGAAAAAGCUGCAAGGAUCAAACAUCCAAACUGGUCAAAUUGGUUUUAAAACAGGCUUUUCAAAGACAGACACGGAUAAAACGGAGUGUUGCAGUUCAGUUGUCUUCAGAUUAGACAGUAUUCUAACACUUAUGAGCUUGUGAUUGGCAUUCUAACUUUAUAAAUUUGCACAAAAUUAAGUUUUUGAAUCCACUUUCCUUCUACAGUGUUGUGCUGUUUCCACUGAGGUGCAGGACUUUAUAUUGACACCGUUAAACUGUUUGGAGUUCAGAGAGUUAACCUGCAUCCCUUCCUCUUUCUCUACUGAUUGGGACUCGUUCACAGCUCUCCUCCUGUUCUCCACACUGCAGGUUUCUUCAAACAUUAGAUUUUCUCUUCCGACCUGAAGUUCAGCCGCUCUGAGCUCCGACCAGACAAAAAGAAAAAAACAGAUGCGUUCACGUCCGUCUCUGCUCCAGUGUGAGCACUACAGGCUGGAGGUGGUUCUGUUCCAACAUCUGACUUCCACCAGACAGCUGCUCUCCUGGUUUGUGUUUUUAUAUUACAGAGAUUUUAACCAGAGAAUAGCUGCUUGUUUUUUCAGAUGUUGUUAUGGAAAAGUGCUAAAUCAUCCCUAAUUAGUAUCCCGACAUAACGGAUAAAUCAAAUGACCGCGGCCAGAGACGCAGGUUGAAGUGAGUAAAGUGAGUGGAGGUGUGACGUGACGCAGCUGAACAAAACCAUGAAUGAUCAUCACUGUCUGCUUCAGAAGUGCCUACUGUUGAUCGACUGUCAGACGACACAUCUGAGCUCUACAGUGUGCCUACCUACCACUGUGUGAGUGUGUGAGAGAGAGAGGGAGUGUGAAUGAGUUUGGGUGAGCUGGGCAGUGUGUGUGUGUGUCUCCAAAAUAUGUUGAAUCCUUAAAACCUGCUGUGAAUAAAACAGGAUGACGGAGCGACUCGUCUGUUUGUCGGCUGCUGGGUAAGCAAAUCGAGCGCACCGUCUCUACAACCUGCAAUAAUCUGUGUACGGGGCUCCGCACCCUACGUGAUGUUCCUAAAAGGUCAACUAUGGAUACUCGGCUGUGAGAAUUUUUGAUGGAGCGAAACUUGAAGAUGAGAAUAUGCACAAUGAGGGACGUCUGCAGAGACUGAGAAAGAGUCUCACCACAUCCUGACAUGAGGAAAAAGACUUUAUUGAAGACUACAAUGAGAAAAACUAUCAGACAGCAGACGGCUGCAUUCAAGAGAAGAAGACCAUCAAACAUCCACAUCAGCUGAUGGAGGUCCAAGAGUCUCACCAAACAACCAACCUACAGAGUGAAGACCUCGAAUCUGAUUGGACGGCCUCCUAUUCAGCCACAUGUGUGAACAAAUGCCUCUAAGUUGAUUUGUUUUCUAAAAUAAAUCUAGUUUGAGUCCUAAUCUAUGCCUGUGUGUUUGCUUCUUUACACCGCUGUUAACAGUUUAGGCUGUUAGAUUGUUCCAGAUAAGACAAGUACAAGAUCCUGCAGAGCCGUUCUACCACGAGCCUGACAGGAAGAACUCCAACAGCUACUGAAUGUUCCUGUGGUUCCCUCAAGGCUACAGGAGGAGCCCUACGAGGACGAGCCGGUCCACCUGAUGGAGGCCAGUCGCUGCGGUUCAAAGCCAACACCGACUACGUGGACUUCUACUGGACCACAUGGAGGCCUUCAAACCGGACCAACAAGUUCAGCGACUCCCCGACUCGUGGGUCUGAGGAUGCCGCCGAGCCUCGGUCCAGCCGGCCUCCUGUCUGUGGGUGUUUGAGUGCUGAGAGGUUUGUGGAUGCAUGUGAACGUUCUGUGUUGAAACAGCAGCUUUGGACUCAGUAACGCCGGGAAAAACCAAGAGCUCCUUUAUUUGUGACUUCCACUAAAAAACUGAUGAAAAUAAGUUUGUCAGGGUUCUGACUGAUAACAGAUUAUUAAAUAAUGAAAAUAAUCAUUUAAAUAUUCCUUUAAACAAUCCUUUUAGGUCUACAUUUCCUUUACACUGACUUCUUGGUAUAUGUACAAGUAUUUUGGGUGGAAUAUACCAUUAAGCCCAAUGUUCAAGGGUUCUUCUGGGAAUAUACCAUUAAACCAACCUUUUAGGUAAAUGUUCCAAGAUGUUGGGUAGAAUAUACCAUCAGAUCAACCUUUUAGGUCUACACUGGAAGAUUUUAGAGUAGAAUAUUACUCCAAACCAUCCUUUAGCUCUACAUUUAAGGUGGAAUACUCCUUUACACCAAGAUUUUUUGGUCUACAUUGAAGGAUUUUGGAUGGAAUAUUCCUUUGAACGAACUUUUUAGGUUUAUGUUCAAGGAUGUUGGGUGGAAUAUACCAUCAGAUCAACCUCCAAGGUCUACAGUAGUGAAUUUUAGGUGGAAUAUACCAUUAAACUCACCUUUUAGGUCUACAUUUUAGGAUUUUAGGUGGAAUUUUCUUCCAAACCGUCUUUUAGUCUACAUUUAAGGAUGUUUAGGAUGGUAUAUUCUUCCGAACCAAUUUCUCAGGUCUACGUUUCAGGUGGAAUAUUCCUCCAUACUAACUUUUUGGUCUACAUUGAAGGAUCUUUUCUAAACCACUCUUUCGGGUCUAUAUUUGAGGUUUUAGGUGGAAUAUUCCUUUUAACCAGCCCCUCAGGUCUCUGAGGAUUUUGGAUGGAAUACUCGGUUAAACCAACAUUUUGGAUACAUGUCCAAGGAUUUUUGGUGGAAUGUUCCUUUAAGGUGGAUGUUUGAGGACCUUGUAGGUGGAAAACUUCCUGAAACCAACCUUUUAGGUCAACAUUCAAAGAUUUAAGGUGGAGUAUUCCUUUAAACCAACCUAAAUUUCAUGUUUUGAUCAUUAUCAAGUGAGAAACCUCAAUCCAGACUCCUCAUAAUGACGUUUGAGAUUUAUGCUGCUGUUAUUUGUUUAGUCCAGACUAAAUGACAGAAAUCCACAACUGUAAUUUUAUUUCAGGACUCGGUUAUUAAAUGUCAAAACAAUCCAUGUGACUCUAAAAACUCAACAGCUUUACAAACUCUAAGAUUAAACUCUCCACAAGGAUCCAAAAUAAGCUGGACUUCUACAUGAGAGCUUUAAUUAUUCUUCAUCUACUUCCUGAAAAGUUUGGUCAAUAAAAAAGACAAAAACUAGUAUUUUCAGCUGAACUAAAGACAGACUUUGUGAUUUUUCUGCUCACAUGUUGUGUUGUUGUAAACUUCCUCUUUCAAAUAAAUACCCACCUAACCCCCUGGAAACCAGCAUUUGUCCUGUUUUUGUGUUGCUCCUCAGUGACCCUAGACAGCCGGGUCGUAAUGUAUUUUGAGCAACACACCAUACUAUGACGUUUUUACAAUGAUGGUUCUGCUAUGGAACCAGUUUGACAUGUUCAGGCGUUCUUUGUGUGAAAACUCGGAGAUUUCAGGUAUCAGAAGGUGGUUUUCAACUUUCUUUGUUAACUUUCUGCCUCAACUUUAAACUAAAUUUCCUUCACUAACCCAGCCCUCUGGACUUCCAGUAAGCUGUGUUCCUAUUGGCUGUCCCAGUGGCUGCUAGGUAUUAUCAGGAACACCUGAGCAGCUCAGUGUCUUCCUGCUUUAUUUAGCUGCAGACAAACAUUUCCUCUGCUUCUGUUCACCACUGAACCGGGUUUGGCUCCGUUGCUUUAAUUUGUUCUUUAGGCGUUGGCUUGCAGCUUCCAGCAGUAAAAUUGUCUUUAAUGUGUUUCUUGGUGUGUUUUAGGGCUUUGUACUGGAUAGUUGUCUUGGUAAAUGUGGUUCUUUAGCCACAGUUACCACAUGGUGCUACUGUGUGCAGUGAUUAGUGGAUUUGGUGCAGCUGAGUUGUGUCUUUAUCUUGGCUGUAGUGAGUCUUCAGAGGUUUUUGGUCAGACACAUUCUGUAUUCUUGUUUGAGAACCAUCGUUGGUUGUCCAGAAGGUAAGAGUUCAUGUCCUGAUUCUCUGUUCUCAGAGGUUCUCUGGUAGGCUGCAGGACACUUUAGCGUUUGGGUUGUGCUAGUUUGGUUUUUGUAUCGGUUUAAUUUGGACGACUGUCUUGAGGCCCCUCCAUGUGGUUUAGUGAGGUUUUCUGCAACAGUUCUACAAAGCAGCCUGCAGCAGAAGAGACUUUGAGA